rnacentral:rRNA from 1 species
CCUACGGGCGGCUGCAGUGGGGAAUAUUGGACAAUGGGGGGAACCCUGAUCCAGCCAUGCCGCGUGUGUGAAGAAGGCCCUCGGGUUGUAAAGCACUUUCAGUGAGGAAGAACGCCUGGUGGUUAAUACCCAUCAGGAAAGACAUCACUCACAGAAGAAGCACCGGCUAACUCCGUGCCAGCAGCCGCGGUAAUACGGAGGGUGCGAGCGUUAAUCGGAAUUACUGGGCGUAAAGCGCGCGUAGGUGGCUUGAUAAGCCGGUUGUGAAAGCCCCGGGCUCAACCUGGGAACGGCAUCCGGAACUGUCAAGCUAGAGUGCAGGAGAGGGAGGUAGAAUUCCCGGUGUAACGGUGAAAUGCGUAGAGAUCGGGAGGGAUACGAGUGGCGAAGGCGGCCCUCUGGACUGACACUGACACUGAGGUGCGAAAGCGUGGGUAGCAAACAGGAUUAGAUACCCGGGUAGUC